UACUGAGGGGGCAAGCGUUGUUCGGAAUUACUGGGCGUAAAGGGCGCGUAGGCGGCCCGCUAAGUCGAACGUGAAAUCCCCGAGCUCAACUCGGGAACUGCGUCCGAUACUGGUGGGCUUGAAUCCGGGAGAGGGAUGCGGAAUUCCAGGUGUAGCGGUGAAAUGCGUAGAUAUCUGGAGGAACACCGGUGGCGAAGGCGGCAUCCUGGACCGGCAUUGACGCUGAGGCGCGAAAGCUAGGGGAGCAAACGGG
rnacentral:rRNA from 1 species